CUAGGGUGGGCUGUGAUGGAUACGCUGAACAUCUGCGGAGGAAACUGUAUACGGUAGCAAUCCGAGCGGUGGAGAAAUUUAUGGCGUUGUUGACAAACACAUUCCCCUGAUAAGGGUUCCAUGUUCAACUAAUAAUCACUUUUCAGCCAAACUAUAGAUUCUUGAUUUGUAAAAUAUAAACUUAAAGCCCUUCGAACACUAUUAGACUGCCAAACAAGUUACCGCUGCCGUCUGGGAAUGUACGACGAUAUUCAUCAUUUUGUGCAACAAUGACGGUUGACAGAUAAUGGAACUAUUGCCUUAAUGUGUUUCUGAAAAUAUUUAUUUAUAAAGAAAAUGCACCCUUGUGGUUUGUUUUGGUCAACAUAAUACUGUAUUUACAGUCACUUUAAUAUCGCAUCUUUUCGAGUGUAAAUGAUAUGCAUUAUAUAUAUAAAAUACAUAGAUAUGUAUGAAAGUGUCAAAGUUCUGGAAAAAGAUUAUUAUGUUCGUUGUUUCCAAAUGUAUUUGUCAAUUGUUUUUCGGUGCAGUGGGAAUUAUGAUGAAUGCAAGUGAAAAUCUGUGUGUUUUUUUGUGGAAGAAGAUGUUUUGAAAUAAAUAAAUAAAUUGUUAAAAUAA